rnacentral:ncRNA from 1 species
UAUUAUAUUAUAAAAUAUAUUAUUUUAUUUUGGUUAAUAUUUUUAUUAUUAUUUUAUUUUACAUGUAAAUUUUUGUGUGAAUUUAUUUAAUUUUUAAAAAAUUAUUUAGUUUAUUUAUUCGCAGUGAUCAAUAUUAAUAUAAAAAAGAAAUUUUGUAUUAGUAAUAAUAUAUAGUAUUGGUAAAAUUUGUGCCAGCUACCGCGGUUAUACAAAUAAUACAAAUAAAAAUUUUUAGUAUUAGUUAAAUUAAUCAAAUUUUAAUAUAAAUAUAAAUUUAUUAGGUGAAAUUUUUAAAUUUAUUUAUUAUUAAUUUAAAAAAUAAUUUAAGCUAUAAACUUUUUAUAAUAAACUAGGAUUAGAUACCCUAUUAUUAAAAAUAAAUAUGAGCAUACUAAAGUAGUAUUAGUUAUAUUCUUAAAAUUUAAAAAAUUUGGCGGUAUUUUAGUCUAUUCAGAGGAAUCUGUCCUGUAAUUGAUAGUCCACAUUGAACCUUACUUAAAUUUGUUUAAUUUGUAUAUCGCCGUCAUCAGAAUAUAUUAUAAGAUAAAAUUUUCUUAAUAUUUAAUAAAAUAAUAUGUCAGGUCAAGGUGCAGUUUAUGUUUAAGUAGAGAUGGAUUACAAUAAAUUUAUUUAAUAUGGAUAAUUUUUUGAAAUAAAGAUUUGAAAGUGGAUUUGAAAGUAAUAUAAAAUAGAUUAUUUAUAUGAUUUUAGCUCUAAAAUAUGCACAUAUCGCCCAUCGUUCUUAUUUUUAAAAUAAGAUAAGUUGUAACAUAGUAGAUGUACUGGAAAGUGUAUCUAGAAAGA